rnacentral:rRNA from 1 species
CCUACGGGAGGCAGCAGUGAGGAAUAUUGGUCAAUGGGCGUAAGCCUGAACCAGCCAAGUCGCGUGAGGGAUGAAGGUUCUAUGGAUCGUAAACCUCUUUUAUCAGGGAAUAAAGUGUGGGACGUGUCCUGUUUUGUAUGUACCUUAUGAAUAAGGAUCGGCUAACUCCGUGCCAGCAGCCGCGGUAAUACGGAGGAUCCGAGCGUUAUCCGGAUUUAUUGGGUUUAAAGGGUGCGUAGGCGGCCUUUUAAGUCAGCGGUGAAAGUCGGUGGCUCAACCAUAGAAUUGCCGUUGAAACUGGGAGGCUUGAGUAUGUUUGAGGCAGGCGGAAUGCGUGGUGUAGCGGUGAAAUGCUUAGAUAUCACGCAGAACCCCGAUUGCGAAGGCAGCCUGCCAAGCCAUGACUGACGCUGAUGCACGAAAGCGUGGGGAUCAAACAGGAUUAGAUACCCCAGUAGUC